rnacentral:rRNA from 1 species
AUUGAACGCUGGCGGCAGGCCUAACACAUGCAAGUCGAACGGUAGCACAGAAGAGCUUGCUCUUUGGGUGGCGAGUGGCGGACGGGUGAGUAAUGUCUGGGAAACUGCCCGAUGGAGGGGGAUAACUACUGGAAGCGGUAGCUAAUACCGCAUAACGUCGCAAGACCAAAGUGGGGGACCUUCGGGCCUCACACCAUCGGAUGUGCCCAGAUGGGAUUAGCUAGUAGGUGGGGUAAUGGCUCACCUAGGCGACGAUCCCUAGCUGGUCUGAGAGGAUGACCAGCCACACUGGAACUGAGACACGGUCCAGACUCCUACGGGAGGCAGCAGUGGGGAAUAUUGCACAAUGGGCGCAAGCCUGAUGCAGCCAUGCCGCGUGUAUGAAGAAGGCCUUCGGGUUGUAAAGUACUUUCAGCGGGGAGGAAGGCGGUGAGGUUAAUAACCUUGCCGAUUGACGUUACCCGCAGAAGAAGCACCGGCUAACUCCGUGCCAGCAGCCGCCGUAA